rnacentral:sRNA from 1 species
AAAGACCAGAGCGGUCAAGCUGUUUCCCCACUGAAUUCCCUCAAUCACAUUUAUGUUCUUUUCCUCCCAGCCACUCCCAUAGUUCAAGCUUUGACUACAACCAGAAUUCAGAGGCAGGCAGAAGGAUUCCAGUGCUGGAGAGACCUGUGCACACCGAUAUGAGGCAAGGCAGCGAGUGGACCAGAUCCUGGAGACGCGGGAUAUGAUUGGUCGCUGCUUUGUGCUCAGCCAGGACCUGGCCAUCCGGGAUGAGUUGGAUGGUGGGGAAUGGAAGUUCUGUGAGGGACGCCCCCAAGGCCAUGAACAAUUUGGGUUCUGCCAGCAGGGCACAGCUGCCGCCUUCUCCCCUGAUAGCCACUACCUCCUCUUUGGGGCCCCAGGAACCUAUAAUUGGAAGGGUGAGUCACUCCUCGGGAAGGGGAGAAGGGGACCAAAACCUCCUCUUACCUCAGAGACAGGGUCGGGGAUGGCACAUGGCCAAGCAUGACCACAUGUGUACUGCUGUAUGGCCCCAGGGCACUGCCAUGCCUUCCACCCCAUUAAGCUAGUGCACACGUGAAUGGGGGGUGCCUCCUUUCCCUCGCACGGCCAAGUGUUCCUCAACAUGCUGGCAUGGGCCCCAAGUGCACGCUGGGCCUGCAGCUGGGGCCUGCAUGCUCCAACACACUAGCCCACACCUCAUCACUGCCAUUCCCGUCUCUGCACGCUGCUGCUGGCUGAGCUGACACUCGGGUUGCUUUUUGUGACCAACAUUGAUAGCUCAGACCCCGACCAGCUGGUGUAUAAAACUUUGGACCCUGCUGACCGGCUCCCAGGACCAGCCGGAGACUUGGCCCUCAAUAGCUACUUAGGGGGACUUUCCCUGGGGGAUGGUUGGUGGGCACAUAUUGAAGAAAGGGCUAGUGUUGUUGGCUUCUCUAUUGACUCGGGGAAAGGUCUGGUGCAUGCAGAAGAGCUGAGCUUUGUGGCUG